CGUCCAUCUUGGCAACGCCCAGAAGCGCGACGGAAGUGACGUAACGACCGGAACUUCCGCCAUCGGCUCCCCGGCAGAGGUGCUCGCUGCUGUGAGGGGUGGAGCCUAUGCAGUCCGAGGUUUUAGUUGGUGAGACUCUAGGGUGGGCUUGGCUUCUCCGCCUCAGUGCUCAAGUACGCAAACAGGAUUUGAAUUUGAAAACACUGAGCCUGGGCCCGGCGGAAGGUACCCCCAGCGGAUUCCGACCUACGGAAGGCCGGGAGGACCAAGCUUCCAGAGGCCGCCGAAUGUGUGCCGGGCCGGGGUGCGAGGCUGUGCGGUGCCUCCUGGUUCCCUUUGAUCUCGGCGGACGGAGCCUCCCCUGGCUUCCCUGUGUCCAAACUUCGUAGUCUCCGGCUUCUUCCCUGCUCCAGGAAUCGCCCAGCUAGACUUGAAAGGGUCCAAGGCAGCCGCAGGAGGACCCUGUACCUGCUGCCGAGCCUCGGGCCUGGCCCCUUCCUCUGGGAUGGAUGGGCUUGUGCGGGAGAUAAACCUCUCCGCGCCUGUCUCCUCUUUGGCACCGCGGGGGUUACACCUGCCCAUCCCUGGAUCUGUAGUGAGGUUUAAGUGGGAAGCACCCGUAUGUGGUGCAUGUUAACCCCCGUCUUCUGAGUCUGGAGAGCUAUAACCCCGCCAGGAACAUGGGAGACAAGUUUGUUCUGGCCCAGAAAACUGCGUUUUCCCCUCACUCUUGCUCACCGACCGAAAAAGACUGUGUCCCUAACUCACGAUUUUUCUCCGUCAGUAGUCCCGUGAAUUACGGUCCUUCCCCUGCCCUACGUGUCACGUGUUGAGAAGUUUGGGGCUCAAUCACUGAAACGUUUACUGAGCACCUACUGUUCGCAGCAAACUGUUAAGACACCACGCUCCACACUGGAGAUAAACAUGAGUAAGACAUGACGUUGCACUGGAGGAGCCCCUGGACCAAAGAUGACCCCAGAGACCUACCACCGCCUAGUUUAGGGCUUAUAAAUGUAGAGAAGAGUUUUGUUAAUUCAGUCAACAUUUUCCGAGCCGCUGUACCUGCUAAAGUGCCGAGGACAGAGACUCCUCAAGAACCAGGGUUCAUCAGCUCAAAGCCACCUGGGGUCUUUGCCCUCCCCUCUUCUCUCUCUUCAAACAGGGGGUUUGAAGCCUUGUCAACAGGAAGUGAAUUCCUCCGUAUCACAUACAGUCUUCUGUUGAUUGUCUCCUUGCAAAAAGUUUAUUUAUUUUUGAGAGAGAGAGAGUGCGAGGGUCAGAGGGGCAGAGA